UGGGGAAUUUUGCGCAAUGGGCUAACGCCUGACGCAGCAACGCCGCGUGGAGGAUGAAGGUCUUUGGAUUGUAAACUCCUGUCAGCAGGGAAAAAGGGAAGGGACCUAAUACGUUCUUGACUUGAUUGUACCUGCAGAGGAAGCCCCGGCUAACUCUGUGCCAGCAGCCGCGGUAAUACAGAGGGGGCAAGCGUUAUUCGGAAUUAUUGGGCGUAAAGGGCGCGUAGGCGGCCAUUCAAGUGACGGGUGAAAGCCCUCGGCUUAACCGAGGAACUGCCUGUCAGACUGGAUGGCUUGAGACCGGGAGAGGUGAGUGGAAUUCCCAGUGUAGCGGUGAAAUGCGUAGAUAUUGGGAGGAACACCAGUGGCGAAGGCGGCUCACUGGACCGGAACUGACGCUGAGGCGCGAAAGCGUGGGGAGCAAA
rnacentral:rRNA from 1 species